UACGAACAUAUCACAUUGAAACACCAGUUUCCUCACGAUUUCCGAAGUUAAGCAACGUCGAGCCUGGUCAGUUUUUCGAUUGGUGACCACUUCGGAAUACUAGGUGUUGUAA